UACGUAGGGACCAAGCGUUGUUCGGAUUUACUGGGCGUAAAGGGCGCGUAGGCGGCGUGGUAAGUCAAUUGUGAAAUCUCCGAGCUUAACUCGGAACGGUCAAUUGAUACUGCUGUGCUAGAGUACAGAAGGGGCAAUCGGAAUUCUUGGUGUAGCGGUGAAAUGCGUAGAUAUCAAGAGGAACACCGGUGGCGAAGGCGGGACUCUGGGCCGAUACUGACGCUGAGGAGCGAAAGCGUGGGGAGCAAACAGG
rnacentral:rRNA from 1 species